rnacentral:rRNA from 2 species
AUAGGAAUCUACCUAGUAGUACGGAAUAAUUGUUGGAAACGGCAACUAAUACCGUAUACGCCCUACGGGGGAAAAAUUUAUUGCUAUUAGAUGAGCCUAUAUUAGAUUAGUUAGUUGGUGAGGUAAAGGCUUACCAAGACAAUGAUCUAUAGCUGAUCUGAGAGGAUGAUCAGCCACACUGGAACUGAGAUACGGUCCAGACUCCUACGGGAGGCAGCAGUGGGGAAUAUUGGACAAUGGGCGAAAGCCUGAUCCAGCCAUGCCGCAUGAGUGAAGAAGGCCUUCGGGUUGUAAAGCUCUUUUAGUGAGGAAGAUAAUGACGGUACUCACAGAAGAAGUCCUGGCUAACUCCGUGCCAGCAGCCGCGGUAAUACGGAGAGGGCUAGCGUUAUUCGGAAUCAUUGGGCGUAAAGGGCGCGUAGGCGGGUUAGUAAGUUAAAAGUGAAAUCCCAAGGCUCAACCUUGGAACUGCUUUUAAAACUGCUAGUCUAGAGAUUGAAAGAGGAUAGAGGAAUUCCUAGUGUAGAGAUGAAAUUCGUAAAUAUUAGAGGAACACC